AGCGGUAGCCCGUCCCACAGGCAAGUAUCUGGUUAGUGCUGGGGAGUGGGAGUUUAGUACAGACAGCGAUCAGUGAAGAGCAGCUGCAGUUUCAGGAUGAAGCCCAUGAUUGUAACUGCGAUUUCUCUCCUCCUUUGCCUGAUUCUCGUGCCGGCAGUACUGGCGGAGGACUGUGCCCCGUACUUUGGCUCUGAUUUUCGCUACCAUGAAGCGCAAGUCUGCAGACUGAGCACUUGCUCUGGAUCCUGCACGGAAAGGUUUUGCGGUAUCAUCCCUGUCCUGGAUCAAUCCCAGUUUCUAUGCAUACUGACCAAUUUUUGGGUGAUCCUUGGAUUAUUCCUUUUGGCAGCCAUCUUAAUCAUAGCUGGAAUUAUCACUUGCAUUUGCAAAUCCGUCUGUUGCCUGUUCAGUGCUUGCCUUGAUUGUAUCUGCUGCCGCAAGCGAAGUAGAGUUACUGUGAGACAAACCACCACCACUGUGGCUGUAACCAAUGUCAUGCCUCGGCAGCCAAUGAUGCCAUUAGUGUAUAACAUGGUCAUGCCCCCCCCAGCAGGAUACCAGCCGCUGCCAAGCCAGCCUAUGUGCUCUGCCUCUGAAGAUAAAUAUGAGCUCCCACCUCGAUACCCAGGUGAAGAAAAUGUGGCUUUUGUGGAAUCCCCUUGAAGCAUUGAGUUUCCUUCUCUGAUUAUAAGCAAGACAAAAAACAAUGUUCUCUAACGCUAUGAAAACACCUCUUCCUCUGCGUGUCAGAAUUUCAAUGUAUGUAUAUUUUGAUAUGACAAUUUUGUGAACAACUUCUUGCUGAGCUGAUAUAGAUGAGAGAUCUAUGUCGGAGUCCUGGUGCAGCACUGGCGGAAGAGCAUGUAAAGGGCAUAACAAACUUUUUUUUCUUUUUUUUUCUUGAUGGUUUAGCAACUUUUUAAUAGCUGAGAAAUAGUUUUAUACCAUGUUUUGUUUCUGUUGUGAUAAUAAUGGCGCACUUGUUGAUUUAAUGAACACUUUAGUUUCCUCUAAAUGUAGGAGUAUCAUCUACAGUUUUAAAAAUUCUGUUAAGUUUAAAUGUCUCUGUUGAAAUAAACUAAUUAUGGAGAAAACAACCACUGCAGUGUUGCUGAUACGGUUGUUACAUGUUCUAUCUAAUAAAGUUUGUUUUUUCAUAAAAAAAAAAAAA